rnacentral:rRNA from 1 species
UACGUAGGGGGCAAGCGUUGUCCGGAAUCAUUGGGCGUAAAGCGCGUGUAGGCGGCCAGGUAAGUCCGUUCUGAAAGCCCGGGGCUCAACCCCCGGGAGGCGGAUGGAUACUGCUUGGCUCGAGUCCGGAAGAGGUGAGUGGAAUUCCCGGUGUAGCGGUGAAAUGCGCAGAUAUCGGGAGGAACACCAAUGGCGAAGGCAGCUCACUGGGACGGUACUGACGCUGAGACGCGAAAGCGUGGGAGCAAACAGG